rnacentral:rRNA from 1 species
UACGGGGGGGGCAAGCGUUGUUCGGAAUUACUGGGCGUAAAGGGCGCGUAGGCGGCCUGCUAAGUCGGAUGUGAAAUCCCUCGGCUCAACCGAGGAACUGCAUCCGAUACUGGCGGGCUUGAAUCCGGGAGAGGGAUGUGGAAUUCCAGGUGUAGCGGUGAAAUGCGUAGAUAUCUGGAGGAAUACCGGUGGCGAAGGCGGCAUCCUGGACCGGCAUUGACGCUGAGGCGCGAAAGCCAGGGGAGCAAACGGG